ACACAUGAUACAAAGGUACAAAGCGGAUACAACAAUUUAUAUAUGCAUAUGAAGCUAUGACAUGUACGCACAGCGACUCGACAUCAUCGAUACAACAGUUCAUACACCCAAAUACAUGCUGGAUAUGUUCUCCGUACACCAGUAAAAGGAUAGCACAUAUAGCUUGGUCCGCUAAUUUUGAUCUGUUCUCAUUCACUAUGCCAGGCAAAAGAGAGUACUCAGCGUACACAAAGUUCCUAUCGAUUUUGACCUAAUCAGAUACCUGCAAAGAAACACACCUCAGGGCGCAGCUGGUAGCAGGUGGCAUCCAUUUCCCAUAAUCGUACACACUUUCACCAAUUUUCCACCCAGGAUCCUGUCUUCCUCCUCGGGAUACUUCUUCCAGUCUUUGAAAAAUCUGCACCACAAUCAAAGAUCUUGUGUUUUAUGGCAGCUCACGUUAUGACAACUAUUAAAGAUUCAAUACAACUUAGUCUUAUAUGCUAACCACAAUGUUUGCUUGCCCUUGGACAGUACAACAGAAUAAAAUAGGAGGUGCAAAUCCAGAACAAUGUAUGUUGGGUGACAGGGCAUAAUAAUAACAAAUCUAUUGAGAACAAAGGACCAACUCAAGCUAGCAUGUGUUGAUAUGCCCCUACAGCCGAGCCAUCAUUUCUGUGCACGGUCAUGACCAAAAUGAUAAGGUCAUGCAUAGCCAAUCCUCAAAUGCACGUAAGAGGAAUGUAUAGCAUAUGGGUUAACUAACUAACGAAUAUGAGGAUCACACAAAACACAUCAAAAGUAUGAUUACUUUAAGAGAUACCCAGUCUAGAGCCUAGGCUUCCUGUUCGGAGGGCAAAGCUUCUUUUCCUGUUCGGAGAAAAACAGUGAAAUAAGCAGACACGACAAAGAUAGAUAUUGUUAUAAACUUAUGGGGAAAGCAAAAGUACAUA
rnacentral:lncRNA from 1 species